rnacentral:lncRNA from 1 species
GAUCAUAAGAUACAGUUAAUCCACCAAAAUUAGAGUAAAGUUGCAAUGUGAUUUCCAGUACUUGGUCAUUAUGCCAUCAGGAGUUCUGUGAAGAGACAAUGCCGUGGAAUUUCCAAGCCUCUCCUCUUUAACUCUCACCCACUUUUUAAAUAAUUUGCCAGGACUGGGACAGACCAUCUGAGAUGUGGUCCCCUCCUGAGGCAGGAAGAGCAGUGGGAUGCUGAGGAACGACGACCGAAACACUCCAAUGGAAAGUAAGAAAAGUGUUUCAAGAUCCGGAAUACCAAGAAGAUUGUGGAAAAAACUCAGAAUACAAAGACAUUUUAGGGGAGAAGACAUACAGAGAAGAAAGUGCGAUGAAGACAAAUGCAGAGAUCAGAGUGAUGUGUCUACAAACCAAAGAAUGCCAAGGAUUAUGAGCAGCCACCAGAAGCUAGGAGAAAGGCAUGGAAAAGAGCUUCCUGGAAGAAUCAGCUUUGCUAACACCCUGUUUUUGGACUUCUGGCCUCUAGAUUUAUGAGAGAAUGAAUUUCUAUUGUUUUAAGCCACCAAGUUUGGGGUAAUUUAUUACAAUAGCUGUAGCAAAGUAACCUAUGUGUAUUUCUCAGACCAUCUGAGAUGAAUGAAGGAAACUUCAUUGCCUUUUCUCAUCUCUUCCUCACCUUGGAAAUGAGUUCUUUUAGCACAAUAACACCUAUGGGAGGGCACUGGCAGAAGAGGCUAUUGGCCAAAGAAAGAUUACUUAAGAAUGGUGCUUUGGAAGAAUCUGAAAAUGUUGGACACUAAGGAGCCACUAACUGAAACCAGCCCUAGAAACCCUAACCCCCAAAGCGAUGGUGUUAGGCAUUAGGGCCUUGGGAAGGUUUAGAUGAGGUCACACAUAUAGGGCCCACGAUGAGGGUAGUGUCUUUCUGAGAAGAGGAAGAAAACAGAGUCCUGUGAGGACACAACAAGAAGGCAGCUGUAUGCAUGCCAGAAAAGGAGCUCUCACCAGAACCCAAGUAUGCUAGCACUCUGGUUUUUGACUUAACCAACCUCCAGAACUGUGAGGAAUAGUUAUUUAAGCCACCCAGUCUGUGGUAUUUAGUUAAAGCAACCUGAGCUGACUGAGAUGGACCAAGAUAGACACAGAGAUGCCUCAGCCCUUGUGUACAGAUACAUAUAAGGUCCAGAAACAUAAAAGUCAGUCUUAGCAGUUAGGUGCCUGGGGAAACAGCAUAGUAGGUCUUCUAAUUCAAUGAGCAGAAUGAGGAAGGGAAGGAACUUUGAUCCUUUGAGAACAUGGCUCAGGGCAACUAUGAGCACAGAAAUGGUAGAGAGAGACAACAGCCUGUGGUGACCCAGAGAGCUUAGGAAGGAGAGGAGCUGCCCAAUGAUCCUAGAAAAACAGCCUCAC